rnacentral:rRNA from 1 species
GAUGAACGCUAGCGGCAGGCCUAACACAUGCAAGUCGAGGGAGGAGCUUUCGGGCUUCGACCGGCGUACGGGUGCGUAACGCGUAUACAAUCUGCCUUUCACAUAGGGAUAGCCCGAAGAAAUUUGGAUUAAUACCUAAUGGUAUAUAGGAGUGGCAUCACAUUUAUAUUAAAGCUGAGGCGGUGAAAGAUGAGUAUGCGUUCUAUUAGCUAGUUGGAGAGGUAACGGCUCCCCAAGGCGACGAUAGAUAGGGGUUCUGAGAGGGAUAUCCCCCACACUGGUACUGAGAUACGGACCAGACUCCUACGGGAGGCAGCAGUGAGGAAUAUUGGACAAUGGUCGGAAGACUGAACCAGCCAUGCCGCGUGCAGGAAGACGGCCUUAUGGGUUGUAAACUGCUUUUGCAGGGGAAGAAUAAGGACUACGAGUAGUUUGAUGACGGUACUCUGCGAAUAAGCAUCGGCUAACUCCGUG